rnacentral:lncRNA from 1 species
AUGUGUGGUUGGGGAGUUUGUAUUGUUCACCCAUGAUGAUGUUGUCUUUGUACAAGAAGCAGAUGUCAAACCAUGGUGGGAGAUUAUCUAUAUUGAAGAUUUGAUGGUAGCAAACCUAAUGUCAAAGCAUGUCACUCUUCUGCAAAUGAAAAAGAAACAGAGUUAAUUAACAAUGACCGAUCCUUGAGUUAGCGCACAUCAAUAAUGUUUAUCACAAGAAACAUUUUCCGGUGUUAAGUUGCUGAAUGUUGCUCAUUUCCUGUACCCUCAAUUUCUUUAUACAAUACACAAUAGAUAGCUUGAAUUUUAUGGAUUUUCACACCACACAAAUCAUUUAAAUAGUUGAGCGAUGGCAGUUUGAUACC